CUCCACUGUGAAUCCUCUGUGAACCUGCCCUUGUCUGUUCUGCUGGAAAAGUACUGCGAAGCUUUGUCAGCCCGCACCAAUGUCACAGGUGUCCAGAGACUGAUGAGUACUUCCAAAUUUACACCAACAAAUCUCUAAGCUGUGUGAGGGAGGCUGCAAAAUUCUCAGCAUGAAACACGUCUCAGUUAGGAAUGAGCCUUUAGACGUGCUCCUGUUGACACACAGUCAUCAGCUGUGUCUCCCUGCUUUGGACAAAGUGGAUGUUUCCAUGCUUCUUUUGGAGGAGUGUCCUGAGCCACACUCAGAGCCAGAUUCACCACAAAGCCAGACCAGGAUGUGCCCAAAACUGUUUGAGAAUCCAGCUGUGGCUGCUUUGAGGACGAGAAAGUGAAACGAUGCUUCAUACUUGCAGGUGCUGUUCUGGCUUACCCUGGACUAGAAUUUGAACACUGAAAAUGGAUCAGAGAUUCAGCUUGAAGAAAUCACCUGCUGUAAAGUUGUAGCUGGCAGCUCCUUGUUUAACUCUUAGUUGCAUCACUUUGUUUAACUCUGAUGAAUGAGCUCUGUUAUGUAGGGAAUUAAUUUGUCUUGGCCUUCAAUCCUGAGAUGAGAACACCUUAUUGUAUAGCGAUAGAACCACAGAACAACAGAAUUGUCUGAGACCUUUCAAAUCACUGAGUCCAGUCCUUGACCCAGCGCUGCCCAGUCCACCACUAAACCUUGUCCCCAAGUGCCACAUCUACACUUUUUAAAUACUUCCAGGCUGGUGACUCAGCCACUUCCCUGGGCAGCCCGUUGUCCCAUGUACACAAAAAUAGUUAAGCGCUAAAGCUUGUCAAAAUGCAAAGCAACCUGUAAAGCUCCAGCUCCACAUUGCUCAGCUUUCUUAUUCCAUUACCAAAUAAGAACUAUAAGGGUUGGGUUUUUUCCCCCUCCAGGCAUUCAUCUGACUCAUUAAACUGUCAGAGGGUGGACACUGGCUGUAUAAGAAAGAGAUAAUGGAAAAUGUUAACGUGGUUUAUGUAAGCCACUUGGACUUGAACUGUUCAACACUUCACCCUCUGUGCAUCUUUAUUUGUAGCAGAUUCAUUCUCUUUGUCGUGCUACUGCUGUGCUUAUAUAAAUGGUCAGACAAAAGGAUGCAGAUAUUUCAAGUAGCACAUACCAGUAGCUAGGAGGUGACACAAAUGAGAAACAGAUUGCUAAAGGUAUAAAAUGCUGGGUGGUGUCUCAGCUCCACUGAUGUGGAACAGGAGUCUUCAGGAGAUUUCAAGGUUCCCUCUUCACUCUGUGCACUUUCCACCUUGUGCAGGUGUCCCUGGUAUAUCAGGCCAAUGAUUUAGGAGCUGAUCUCUUGCCUGCUGUCACUGUGAAAUACAUGGGGGGUUAUUACUAUGCCAGAGAAACCUGCUUCUGUGCAGGAAAUUCUCUGGGAUGAACAUGGGAGCUGGGAGAGUGUUCAUUUAUCUCCUGUCCCCAUGCUGUUCCCUAAAUAUCCACUACUGGAGACUGGAAGAUGUAGUAGGUAGACCCUCAGGCAGAACCAAAAGGGCUGCUCUGGUAUUUUUAAACAAGCCUGUUUUUUUUUAUUUAUUGAGUUUAAAGGCAGCCUGAGGCCUGCUCAGCUGUAGAUUGCUACUUUGCAAUAUCCAGAGUUACAGGAAAUUAAUCAUUCUCCUAAGAACCUGCUCUUUCUUUGAAAGAAUCCCUGAGGUAAUUCCACAGCAGGUGGGAGACUAUUACUCAUUGCCUUCUGUGUAAAUAAAGGGGAAAGAGUUAAUAUCAGAAGUGAGAUGUAUUUGCAAUUUUGCUGUUAAUCUGUUCAAGGAGAGUGCUGGUGAGUUCAUCCCUGUGAAUGUGGGUGUGAAAUCUUCAGAUGAAUCCUCAGUGUGUAGCCACACCUCAGUGGGCAUCAGCUCUUUGAAAUUUGUAUCAGCUAAACACAAGUUUUCUGACUGAGAGGGGCAGCUUCUUAUCUAAUCAAUUUGUUGUGGGUUGUUAAAAAUA